rnacentral:rRNA from 1 species
AGAGUUUGUUUAUGGCUCAGGACGAACGCGGUCGGCGUGCCUAAUACAUGCAAGUAGAACGCUGAGGUUUGGUGUUUACACUAGACUGAUGAGUUGCGAACGGGUGAGUAACGCGUAGGUAACAUGCCUCAUAGCGGGGGAUAACUAUUGGAAACGAUAGCUAAUACCGCAUAAGAGUAAUUAACACAUGUUAGUUAUUUAAAAGGAGCAAUUGCUUCACUGUGAGAUGGACCUGCGUUGUAUUAGCUAGUUGGUGAGGUAAAGGCUCACCAAGGCGUCGAUACAAAGCCGACCUGAGAGGGUGAUCGGCCACACUGGGACUGAGACACGGCCCAGACUCCUACGGGAGGCAGCAGUAGGGAAUCUUUGGCAAUGGACGGAAGUCUGACCGAGCAACGCCGCGUGAGUGAAGAAGGUUUUCGGAUCGUAAAGCUCUGUUGUUAGAGAAGAACGUUGGUAGGAGUGGAAAAUCUACCAAGUGACGGUAACUAACCAGAAAGGGACGGCUAACUACGUGCCAGCAGCCGCGGUAAUACGUAGGUCCCGAGCGUUGUCCGGAUUUAUUGGGCGUAAAGCGAGCGCAGGCGGUUCUUUAAGUCUGAAGUUAAAGGCAGUGGCUUAACCAUUGUACGCUUUGGAAACUGGAGGACUUGAGUGCAGAAGGGGAGAGUGGAAUUCCAUGUGUAGCGGUGAAAUGCGUAGAUAUAUGGAGGAACACCGGUGGCGAAAGCGGCUCUCUGGUCUGUAACUGACGCUGAGGCUCGAAAGCGUGGGGAGCAAACAGGAUUAGAUACCCUGGUAGUCCACGCCGUAAACGAUGAGUGCUAGGUGUUAGGCCCUUUCCGGGGCUUAGUGCCGCAGCUAACGCAUUAAGCAUCC